rnacentral:rRNA from 1 species
CAAUAGCGUAUAUUAAAGUUGUUGCGGUUAAAAAGCUCGUAGUUGGAUUUCUGCCGAGGACGACCGGUCCGCCCUCUGGGUGAGUAUCUGGCUCGACCUGGGCAUCCUUCCAGAGAAUGUGUCUGCUCUUGACUGAGUGGUGCAGUAUCUGGAACUUUUACUUUGAGGAAAUUAGAGUGUUUCAAGCAGGCAUACGCCUUGAAUACAUUAGCAUGGAAUAAUGGAAUAGGACGCUGGUUCUAUUUUGUUGGUUUUGAGAACCAGAGUAAUGAUUAAUAGGGACAGUUGGGGGCAUUCAUAUUUCAUUGUCAGAGGUGAAAUUCUUGGAUUUAUGAAAGAUGAACUUCUGCGAAAGCAUUUGCCAAGGAUGUUUUCAUUAAUCAAGAACGAAAGUUAGGGGAUCGAAGAUGAUUAGAUACCAU